rnacentral:rRNA from 1 species
GUAACACGUGGGCAACCUGCCCUGCAGAUCGGGAUAACUCCGGGAAACCGGUGCUAAUACCGAAUAGUUUUGGGUCCCUCCUGGGACCUAACGGAAAGACGGUUUCGGCUGUCACUGCAGGAUGGGCCCGCGGCGCAUUAGCUAGUUGGUGGGGUAACGGCCCACCAAGGCGACGAUGCGUAGCCGACCUGAGAGGGUGAUCGGCCACACUGGGACUGAGACACGGCCCAGACUCCUACGGGAGGCAGCAGUAGGGAAUCUUCCGCAAUGGACGCAAGUCUGACGGAGCAACGCCGCGUGAGUGAUGAAGGUUUUCGGAUCGUAAAACUCUGUUGCGAGGGAAGAAACCGUGCCAACUAACUAUUGGCACCUUGACGGUACCUCGCCAGAAAGCCACGGCUAACCACGUGCCAGCAGCCGCGGUAAUACGUAGGUGGCAAGCGUUGUCCGGAAUUAUUGGGCGUAAAGCGCGCGCAGGCGGUCCCUUAAGUCUGAUGUGAAAGCCCACGGCUCAACCGUGGAGGGUCAUUGGAAACUGGGGGACUUGAGUGCAGAAGAGGAAAGUGGAAUUCCACGUGUAGCGGUGAAAUGCGUAGAGAUGUGGAGGAACACCAGUGGCGAAGGCGACUUUCUGGUCUGUAACUGACGCUGAGGCG